CCGUGUUAACACUAACUAUGCGCCACCUCUUGGAUCAACGCCAGCCGCCAUCUUAAGGUUACCCAAACAUGUCUUCUGCAGGUGAAAUCUGAGGGUGAACAGGCAGCAGCUUCCUCAGGACUCAGGAUGGGAGGUGAGCAUCAAGCACUCCAAAAGAAGUUUUUAAAUGUUUGCUGUGGGUCUGGAGCCAUGAAAAGCCUUAUUGUUUUACCCAAGAAGACACUGAACUGAGGGUCUGGCGACGUGCCUGAGGCCACUCAGGGAGUGAGGGCAGCAGACCAGAGAACCCAAAUGUGAUGCAAAAAAUAUCCAAUAAAAGUUUCCACUCAUAAACUUUGGCAGACCACAGGACGAUAUGAAAUGAACACCAUUAUGAAGAAUCAAUUAAGAGAGGAGAGGGCCAGAAGCGAGAUGAACAUCAGCUGUGGUUGCCACACCUGCCUGCGACCUCUUCACUGCACCCCAAACUAAUAAAUCACCACUUCUGCGGUGGGGCCCAGGCACAUGUAAUUUUUGACGAGCCUGAAGUGAUUCCAGUGGCAGCCAGGAUGAAGAAACUUUGACACAAGUUCACUGGUAAGAGUUUGUACUAUCUUAGGUGUGCUGUCGGUAGACAGGCCUCUACCACCCUCCAGUCCUACCAUGUGUCACAGAAUGAUGAGGAGGUAAUGAACAUCCACUCACCUUUCACCUGUGGAAACUGAGUCUCAGAGAGAUGAGUUCUCUUGCUCAAACUCACACCAUCAGUAAGAAGAAGUGAAGUUAGAAUCUGAACCUCAGAGUCUCUCAAGGAGAGGAUGGUCCCUGUUGUUCCACUGAGCCUUCUCAUGAUGGCUUAGGCAUCUGGCCAGGAGUAUUUGUGCUGCCUUGCUGCCCCUGGAGUGAGCCCAGCCAUGCAUGUCUUGGAGGCAAGAUGGUGUUUUCAGAUUCUCACCUGGGAGCUCCUUAUAUUGGUCAUGGAGGAGACAGCAGAGAUGGUUCACAUAGAAAUGUUCUGCAUUUGAUAGAAGAGGUACAUGGAACCACGGAAACCAGGUCCUCAAAGUCAAUGUGGAUUACAGAAGGAAAUCCUCUGGGCUGUGGCUGUAUCGAAGGAACCAGCCUGUGAACCACACUCUCCACACACAGACCAACUCCACCACCCAACGUGAACUCUCUGACGAUUCCAACUCUGAACCUGCCACCUCCUCACCUGAAUUUCCUUCACUACUACUUUUCUCUUGAACAAUCCCUACCUUCCCUCUAGAAGUUCAAGGUUCAGGUUCUGCAGGCAGAUGGUGGUUCCUCCUCCUCGUUGCUUCUGUGGCUGCCUGUCUUCACAGGAUGUCUCCUUCAUUCUGUGACCCAGCAUCGUUCCCAUGAGACCUCAGCUCCUGCAGGGCUGGGCCUAGGCUGCAUUCACCUCGG